rnacentral:rRNA from 1 species
AGAGUGAACGCUGGCGGCAGGCCUAAUACAUGCAAGUCGAACGGCAGCACGGCAGAGCUUGCUCUGUGGGUGGCGAGUGGCGGACGGGUGAGGAAUACAUGGGAAUCUGCCCAGUCGUGGGGGAUAACGUAUGGAAACGUACGCUAAUACCGCAUGCGCCCUUCGGGGGAAAGCCGGGGACCUUCGGGCCUGGCGCGAUUGGAUGAGCCCAUGUCGGAUUAGCUAGUUGGCGGGUAACGGCCCACCAAGGCGACGAUCCGUAGCUGGUCUGAGAGGAUGAUCAGCCACACUGGAACUGAGACACGGUCCAGACUCCUACGGGAGGCAGCAGUAGGGAAUAUUGGACAAUGGGCGCAAGCCUGAUCCAGCCAUGCCGCGUGUGUGAAGAAGGCCUUCGGUGUAAAGCACUUUCGUACGGAAAGAAAAGACGCUGGUAACACCUACGGUGUCCGUGACGGUACCGGAAGAAAUAAGACACCGCUAACGUUCGUG